rnacentral:rRNA from 1 species
CGUGGUGACCUGCGGAAGGAUCAUUCA